rnacentral:rRNA from 1 species
GACGAACGCUGGCGGCGUGCCUAAUACAUGCAAGUAGAACGCUGAAGCUUGGUGCUUGCCCCGAGCGGAUGAGUUGCGAACGGGUGAGUAACGCGUAGGUAACCUGCCUGGUAGCGGGGGAUAACUAUUGGAAACGAUAGCUAAUACCGCAUAACAGUAGAUAUCGCAUUAUAGCUACUUGAAAGGUGCAACUGCACCACUACCAGAUGGACCUGCGUUGUAUUAGCUAGUUGGUGAGGUAACGGCUCGACAAGGCAACGGUACAUAGCCGACCUGAGAGGGUGAUCGGCCCCGCUGGAACAGAGACACCGCGCAAAUUCCUACGUGAUGCAGCAGUAGGGAAUCUUCCGCGAGGGACUGAAGUCUGACCGGGCAACUCCGCGUGUGUGAAGGAGGUUUUCGGAUCGUAAAGAUCUGUUGUAAGAGAAGAACGAGUGUGAGAGUGGAAAGUUCACACUGUGACGGUAUCUUAGCAGAAAGGAACGGCUAACUACGUG